UUUAAGCGUAGCCAUGAAUUUCUGUGUCCAACUUUGACCGUCCGUCUUAUUUGAAUUUUUAUGAUUAGUACUUAAUUUUAUUGUUAUUAGAUAAUAAAUAUGAAUAGUAUUUUAUGCGUGACUUAUAUUUUUUUUACUUUUUUAAAUAAGACAGACGAUUAAAUUUGGACACGAAAACUUAUGGUUAUAUUUAAA
rfam:Oryza glumipatula chromosome 7, whole genome shotgun sequence.